AUUGAACGCUGGCGGCGUGCUUAACACAUGCAAGUCGAACGAUGAAGCCGGAGCUUGCUCCGGUGGAUUAGUGGCGAACGGGUGAGUAACACGUGAGCAAUCUGCCCUUGACUCUGGGAUAACUGCGGGAAACUGUAGCUAAUACCGGAUACGACACCUUGGGGCAUCCCAGGGUGUGGAAAGAAUUUCGGUCAAGGAUGAGCUCGCGGCCUAUCAGCUAGUUGGUGAGGUAAUGGCUCACCAAGGCGACGACGGGUAGCCGGCCUGAGAGGGUGACCGGCCACACUGGAACUGAGACACAGUCCAGACUCCUACGGGAGGCAGCAGUGGGUAAUAUUGCACAAUGGGCGAAAGCCUGAUGCAGCAACGCGGCGUGAGGGAUGAAGGCCUUCGGGUUGUAAACCUCUUUUAGCAGGGAAGAAGCGAAAGUGACGGUACCUACAGAAAAAGCACCGGCUAACUACGUGCCAGCCGCCGCUGUAA
rnacentral:rRNA from 1 species